AGAGUUUGAUCCUGGCUCAGGACUAACGCUGGCGGCGUGCCUAACACAUGCAAGUCGAACGGAUGUAGCAAUACAUCAGUGGCAGACGGGUGAGUAACACGUGGUCAACCUUCCGUUUAAUGGGGGAUAACUAGCCGAAAGGUUAGCUAAUACCGCAUACGAUCUUCGAAAGGCAUCCUUUGAAGAUGAAAGCAGUAAUG
rnacentral:rRNA from 1 species